rnacentral:rRNA from 1 species
UACAGGGGGGGCAAGCGUUGUUCGGAAUUACUGGGCGUAAAGGGUUCGUAGGUGGCUUACUAAGUCAGACGUGAAAUCCCUCAGCUUAACUGGGGAACUGCACGGGAAACAGCAGGGCUUGAGUUCGGGAGAGGGAAGCGGAAUUCCGGGUGUAGCGGUGAAAUGCGUAGAUAUCCGGAGGAACACCGGUGGCGAAGGCGGCUUCCUGGACCGAUACUGACGCUGAGGCGCGAAAGCUAGGGGAGCAAACGGG